GCCGGAGAGCACAGAACAAAUCUGCUCUAUAAUCAAUCUUCCUCCUUCGUCGCGUCAACCAAUCGAUUCAAUCCGAUCCCAGUGGCCUUCGAGUUUCCCCUCGCAGCAGGGCACCUCCUCUCCUCUGCGUUGGAUGGAUCUCUUCCUCCCGCUGCUGCCCCUGCUCUCCCGAUAGGUGCUGCUAAGCGCGGGCGGACAGGAUGGGGCGCGGCUGGAGAGGGUUGGUGCCGAUUCUACCGCUUCGUGGCCGCCGCCGCCGCUGCCUCCGAGGGAGACGCCGAUCCGGUCUACAGAUCUUGCGUUGAAGAAUGUCAGAGGUUUGAGCAAGCUGUCAAGCACUGCGUGGUUCCGGCAGAUGAUCAGCCUGCUGACAAAUCAUGGUACGCGCACGAGCCAUUGUACUUGCAAUGGAAGGAGUGGAACUGCAACAGCGAAUGCCGAUACAAAUGGUAUGAUGGAAAGAGAAAAGGAAAGGGAAGAGCUUAGGCUCGGGCCGGUUAAGUAUCACGGCAAAUGGCCUCUGAAACGCUUGUGUUUCAGGAACCUUUAUCUGCUGCUCUAUCGGCUCUUACCCUUGUGCAAUUUAAUGGAUGGCUGUCAUUUUUCCUCUUGCUUCCAUAUAAGCUACCUCUUGGGCCCGAAACUCACGAGACAUACUAUGAAUAUACCGGAUUAUGGCACGUUUACGGGCUAUUGGCCAUGAAUUCGUGGUUCUGGAGUGCCAUAUAUCACAAUUGUGAUACUGAAUGGACAGAGAAGGUAUAUUUUUCAUCAUCUGCUCUGCA